rnacentral:rRNA from 1 species
GAUGAACGCUAGCGAUAGGCUUAACACAUGCCAGUCGAGGGGCAGCAUGGUCUUAGCUUGCUAAGGCUGAUGGCGACCGGCGCACGGGUGCGUAACGCGUAUGCAACUUGCCUCACAGAGGGGGAUAACCCGUCGAAAGACGGACUAAUACCGCGUACACUCUAUGUUGGGCAUCCAAUGUAGAGGAAAUGAAAUUCGCUGUGAGAUAGGCAUGCGUCCCAUUAGCUAGUUGGUGAGGUAACGGCUCACCAAGGCGACGAUGGGUAGGGGAACUGAGAGGGUGAACCCCCACAGGGGUACUGGGACACGGACCAGACUCCUACGGGAGGCAGCAGUGAGGAAUAUUGGUCAAUGGGCGAGAGCCUGAACCAGCCAAGUCGCGUGAAGGAUGACUGUCUUAUGGAUUGUAAACUUCUUUUAUACGGGAAUAACAAGAGUCACGUGUGGCUCCCUGCAUGUACCGUAUGAAUAAGCAUCGGCUAACUCCGUG